GAUGAAGAACGCAGCGAAAUGCGAUAAGUAGUGUGAAUUGCAGAAUUCAGUGAAUCAUCGAAUCUUUGAACGCACAUUGCGCCCCUUGGUAUCCCGAGGGGCAUGCCUGUUCGAGCGUCAUUUCACCACUCAAGCCUGGCUUGGUGUUGGGCGACGUCCCCUUUGGGGACGCGCCUCGAAACGCUCGGCGGCGUGGCACCGGCUUUAAGCGUAGCAGAAUCUUUCGCUUUGGAAGUCGGGGCCCCGUCUGCCGGAAGACCUACUCGCAAGGUUGACCUCGGAUCAGGCAGGGAUGCCCGCUGAACUUAAGCAUAUCAAUAAGCGGAGGA
rnacentral:misc_RNA from 1 species